UAGCUGCAGUAUUUUGACUGUACAAAGGUAGCAUAAUAAUUAGUCUUUUAAUUGAAGGCUUGUAUGAAUGGCUAGACGGAAAUUAAACUUUUUUAUUUAUAAAAAUUGAAUUUAGUUUUUUAGUUAAAAAACUAAAAUAAAUUUAAGGGACGAUAAGACCCUAUAGAAUUUAAUAGUAAGAAUGAAUGAUAUUUUUUUGUUGGGGUGACAAGUAAUAAACUUUUCUUCUUUUUUUCAUAAAAAAUGGUUUUAUGAUCCUAGUAGUUAGAUAAAAGGAUAAAAUUACCUUAGGGAUAACAGCAUAAUUUUUUUUAGAAGAUCUAAUUUAUAAAAAAGAUUAUGACCUCGAUGUUGAAUUAAAAUAUGAUUAGGUGCAGAAUUUUAAUCAUUUAGUCUGUUCGACUUUUAAUUUUACAUGAUUUGAGUUCAAACCGGCGUGAGCCAG
rnacentral:rRNA from 1 species